rnacentral:rRNA from 1 species
AGACCCGAAACCCGGUGAUCUAGCCAUGGGCAGGUUGAAGGUUGGGUAACACUAACUGGAGGACCGAACCGACUAAUGUUGAAAAAUUAGCGGAUGACCUGUGGCUGGGGGUGAAAGGCCAAUCAAACCGGGAGAUAGCUGGUUCUCCCCGAAAGCUAUUUAGGUAGCGCCUCGUGAAUUCAUCUCCGGGGGUAGAGCACUGUUUCGGCUAGGGGGCCAUCCCGGCUUACCAACCCGAUGCAAACUGCGAAUACCGGAGAAUGUUAUCACGGGAGACACACGGCGGGUGCUAACGUCCGUCGUGAAGAGGGAAACAACCCAGACCGCCAGCUAAGGUCCCAAAGUCAUGGUUAAGUGGGAAACGAUGUGGGAAGGCCCAGACAGCCAGGAUGUUGGCUUAGAAGCAGCCAUCAUUUAAAGAAAGCGUAAUAGCUCACUGGUCGAGUCGGCCUGCGCGGAAGAUGUAACGGGGCUAAACCAUGCACCGAAGCUGCGGCAGCGAACGUAUCACCCAAGACAACUUUACGGAGUUGACGAUUGACGGAGCGAAGCGACGUCAAAGCGUUCAUUAAAGUCGAGUUGGCUUAGGGAUACGUUCGUUGGGUAGGGGAGCGUUCUGUAAGCCUGCGAAGGUGGCCUGUGAGGGUUGCUGGAGGUAUCAGAAGUGCGAAUGCUGACAUAAGUAACGAUAAAGCGGGUGAAAAGCCCGCUCGCCGGAAGACCAAGGGUUCCUGUCCAACGUUAAUCGGGGCAGGGUGAGUCGACCCCUAAGGCGAGGCCGAAAGGCGUAGUCGAUGGGAAACGGGUUAAUAUUCCCGUACUUGGUGUUACUGCGAAGGGGGGACGGAGAAGGCUAUGUUGGCCGGGCGACGGUUGUCCCGGUUUAAGCGUGUAGGUGUGUGUUCCAGGUAAAUCCGGUUCACUUUAACACUGAGGCGUGACGACGAGGCACUACGGUGCUGAAGCAACAAAUGCCCUGCUUCCAGGAAAAGCCUCUAAGCAUCAGGUAACAUCAAAUCGUACCCCAAACCGACACAGGUGGUCAGGUAGAGAAUACCAAGGCGCUUGAGAGAACUCGGGUGAAGGAACUAGGCAAAAUGGUGCCGUAACUUCGGGAGAAGGCACGCUGACACGUAGGUGAAGUGAUUUACUCAUGGAGCUGAAGUCAGUCGAAGAUACCAGCUGGCUGCAACUGUUUAUUAAAAACACAGCACUGUGCAAACACGAAAGUGGACGUAUACGGUGUGACGCCUGCCCGGUGCCGGAAGGUUAAUUGAUGGGGUCAGCGCAAGCGAAGCUCCUGAUCGAAGCCCCGGUAAACGGCGGCCGUAACUAUAACGGUCCUAAGGUAGCGAAAUUCCUUGUCGGGUAAGUUCCGACCUGCACGAAUGGCGUAAUGAUGGCCAGGCUGUCUCCACCCGAGACUCAGUGAAAUUGAACUCGCUGUGAAGAUGCAGUGUACCCGCGGCAAGACGGAAAGACCCCGUGAACCUUUACUAUAGCUUGACACUGAACAUUGAGCCUUGAUGUGUAGGAUAGGUGGGAGGCUUUGAAGCGUGGACGCCAGUCUGCGUGGAGCCGACCUUGAAAUACCACCCUUUAAUGUUUGAUGUUCUAACGUGGACCCGUUA